GAUGAACGCUGGCGGCGUGCCUAAUACAUGCAAGUCGAGCGAACGGACGAGAAGCUUGCUCUUCUGAUGUUAGCGGCGGACGGGUGAGUAACACGCGGAUAACCUACCUAUAAGACUGGGAUAACUUCGGGAAACCGGAGCUAAUACCGGAUAAUAUUUUGAACCGCAUGGUUCAAAAGUGAAAGACGGUCUUGCUGUCACUUAUAGAUGGAUCCGCGCUGCAUUAGCUAGUUGGUAAGGUAACGGCUUACCAAGGCAACGAUGCAUAGCCGACCUGAGAGGGUGAUCAGCCACACUGGAACUGAGACACGGUCCAGACUCCUACGGGAGGCAGCAGUAGGGAAUCUUCCGCAAUGGGCGAAAGCCUGACGGAGCAACGCCGCGUGAGUGAUGAAGGUCUUCGGAUCGUAAAACUCUGUUAUUAGGGAAGAACAUAUGUGUAAGUAACUGUGCACAUCUUGACGGUACCUAAUCAGAAAGCCACGGCUAACUACGUG
rnacentral:rRNA from 1 species